rnacentral:misc_RNA from 1 species
AAGUCGUAACAAGGUUUCCGUAGGUGAACCUGCGGAAGGAUCAUUACAGAGUUCAUGCCCUAACGGGUAGAUCUCCCACCCUUGUGUGAUAUAAUUAUCUGUUGCUUUGGCGGGUCGCAAGUUCGCUUGCCCUGUGUAUCCGCCAGAGGACCAAUAAAUUCUGAAUGUUAAUGUCGUCUGAGUACUAUAUAAUAGUUAAAA